rnacentral:lncRNA from 1 species
GAAGAAACCACCCUCUUUUUCCUCCCCCUCCUCGCACGCCAAGGCCUUUCAACUCGGGCAAUUGCAUCCUCUCAACCCUCCGCCUCCAGCCCCCAGUCAUUAUCUCUGAGUACAGAGCAUCCUUUACAUAUUCACUUACUUAAUCUUCAUACAGGUGCAAUAAGAUACGUUUUAGGCGAUGAGGGAACUGAGACACCAAGAAGUUAAAGAGCUUGUGAAGGUCACACAGUGAGCAAAUGGGAAAGCUGGGAUUCAGAACUAACUGUGUUUGGAGCCUGUGGUCUUGGGCAGGAAGCUUUCUGAGGCGUGUGUGGCAGGGAUAAGAGCCAAAUGGGAUAUAUGGUGCUGGACCUGGGUUACAGGAAGGAACUGUCUCAGAACCUGGCUGACCUGAUUCUGCUGAUAACUCAGCUCGGAAGGACGCCUCAUUGGGAAAGUGAAUCACGUCUAUCACCCUCAUGUUCAGAGAAGCCAUGAAGAAACUGAAUGGAUCUCAGUCCUCUGUCUUUGCUGUCUCCUCUGGAGCGUUCAUCACACAUUGGUGACUCUCUUCCUAGCAGUUAAAUACUGACUUUAAGAAAAAGAAUAUCACCCCAGGGCCCAGAGAAGAAACAUUACCCUGGGCUGAUCUGUCCACUAUUUGAAUUGCAAGAACAAAACUUACCGUCUGAAUGUAACACCUGGAAAGGUCAUCCU